rnacentral:rRNA from 1 species
UUCCAAGCGAGCCCGGAGAUAGCUGGUUCUCCCCGAAAUAGCUUUAGGGCUAGCCGCAAGGUGAGAGAUACGGCGGUAGAGCACUGAAUGUCCGAGGGGGUAUUUCACCUACCACAGACUAUCAAACGCAGAAUGACGUCAUCUUAUACUUGGGAGUCAGACUGUGGGGGAUAAGAUUCAUAGUCGAAAGGGCAACAGCCCAGAUAGUCAGCUAAGGUCCCUAAAUGUAAGUUAAGUGGUAAAGGAUGUGGGAUUGCACAGACAACCAGGAUGUUGGCUUAGAAGCAGCCACUCAU